rnacentral:miRNA from 1 species
CCAUCAAAAAACCUCACCCACCA